AAGCUUGCUUCUCGCUGACGAGCGGCGGACGGGUGAGUAAUACUUAGGAAUCUACCUAGUAGUGGGGGAUAGCACGGGGAAACUCGUAUUAAUACCGCAUACGACCUACGGGAGAAAGGGGGCAGUUUACUGCUCUCGCUAUUAGAUGAGCCUAAGUCGGAUUAGCUAGAUGGUGGGGUAAAGGCCUACCAUGGCGACGAUCUGUAGCUGGUCUGAGAGGAUGAUCAGCCACACCGGGACUGAGACACGGCCCGGACUCCUACGGGAGGCAGCAGUGGGGAAUAUUGGACAAUGGGGGAAACCCUGAUCCAGCCAUGCCGCGUGUGUGAAGAAGGCCUUUUGGUUGUAAAGCACUUUAAGCAGUGAAGAAGACUCCAUGGUUAAUACCCAUGGACGAUGACAUUAGCUGCAGAAUAAGCACCGGCUAACUCUGUGCCAGCAGCCGCGGUAAUACAGAGGGUGCAAGCGUUAAUCGGAAUUACUGGGCGUAAAGGGAGCGUAGGUGGCUCUAUAAGUCAGAUGUGAAAUCCCCGGGCUUAACCUGGGAACUGCAUCUGAAACUGUAGAGCUAGAGUAUGUGAGAGGAAGGUAGAAUUCCAGGUGUAGCGGUGAAAUGCGUAGAGAUCUGGAGGAAUACCGAUGGCGAAGGCAGCCUUCUGGCAUAAUACUGACACUGAGGCUCGAAAGCGUGGGUAGCAAACAGGAUUAGAUACCCUGGUAGUCCACGCCGUAAACGAUGUCUACUAGUCGUUGGGUCCCUUGAGGACUUAGUGACGCAGCUAACGCAAUAAGUAGACCGCCUGGGGAGUACGG
rnacentral:rRNA from 1 species